GCCCUGUCUGUGUUCCCGCAGUGCCUGUGGACAAUGCCACCAUCACCCCCAGUGUCCUGGAGGUGACACUGCCGGAGACAGGGACACACAGCGACACAGUGGCCGCAGGCGUCAGUGGGGCCCUUUUGUUCCUGCUCCUGCUUGUGGGUGUCAUGGUGGCCUGGCACUGGUGGCACCGUGUGGAUGCCAGGAAGCACCAGGAAAGGGCCCCCUGAGACCCCCUGGCACCCCCAGUGGAGGAUCCUCAGGCGAUGUACAUGGAGCUGCAAAGGCAACCGUGGGAACCCAGUGACAUCUAUGACAAUCUACACCAAAAGUUGUGAUGCUCUGGGAAGCGGGAGGCACUGGGUGACACUGGGGGUGCUCCCUCCAUGGCUCCUGUGGUUACCCAUCCU